rnacentral:rRNA from 1 species
UACGGGGGGGGGCAAGCGUUGUUCGGAAUUCCUGGGCGUAAAGGGCUCGUAGGCGGCCAACUAAGUCGGACGUGAAAUCCCCAGGCUCAACCUGGGAACUGCGUCUGAUACUGGAUGGCUUGAAUCCGGGAGAGGGAUGCAGAAUUCCAGGUGUAGCGGUGAAAUGCGUAGAUAUCUGGAGGAACACCGGUGGCGAAGGCGGCAUCCUGGACCAACACUGACGCUGAGGAGCGAAAGCCAGGGGAGCAAACGGG